rnacentral:rRNA from 1 species
AACGAUAUCACAGGUAUAGUGGCGGACGGGUGAGUAACGCGUGGGCAACCUGCCCUGAAGAUUGGGAUAACACCCCGAAAGGGGUGCUAAUACCAAAUGUAGUUGCGGUACCGCAUGGUACUGCAAAAAAAGGAGCAAUCCACUUCAGGAUGGGCCCGCGUCUGAUUAGCUAGUUGGUAGGGUAACGGCCUACCAAGGCGACGAUCAGUAGCCGACCUGAGAGGGUGAACGGCCACACUGGGACUGAGACACGGCCCAGACUCCUACGGGAGGCAGCAGUCGGGAAUAUUGGGCAAUGGACGAAAGUCUGACCCAGCAAUGCCGCGUGAGUGACGAAGGUCUUCGGAUCGUAAAGCUCUGUCUUCAGGGACGAAAGAGUGACGGUACCUGAGGAGGAAGCCCCGGCUAACUACGUGCCAGCAGCCGCGGUAAUACUUAGGGGGCGAGCGUUGUCCGGAAUUACUGGGCGUAAAGGGCGAGUAGGCGGCUAUACUAGUCAGAUGUGAAGUACUGAGGCUUAACCUCAGGGCUGCAUUUGAAACUGUAUAGCUUGAGUGCAGGAGAGGAAAG